GACGAACGCUGGCGGCGUGCCUAAUACAUGCAAGUUGAGCGCUGAAGGUUGGUACUUGUACCAACUGGAUGAGCAGCGAACGGGUGAGUAACGCGUGGGGAAUCUGCCUUUGAGCGGGGGGCAACAUUUGGAAACGAAUGCUAAUACCGCAUAAAAACUUUAAACACAAGUUUUAAGUUUGAAAGAUGCAAUUGCAUCACUCAAAGAUGAUCCCGCGUUGUAUUAGCUAGUUGGUGAGGUAAAGGCUCACCAAGGCGAUGAUACAUAGCCGACCUGAGAGGGUGAUCGGCAACAUUGGGACUGAGACACGGCCCAAACUCCUACGGGAGGCAGCAGUAGGGAAUCUUCGGCAAUAGACGAAAGUCUGACCGAGCAACGCCGCGUGAGUGAAGAAGGUUUUCGGAUCGUAAAACUCUGUUGGUAGAGAAGAACGUUGGUGAGAGUGGAAAGCUCAUCAAGUGACGGUAACUACCCAGAAAGGGACGGCUAACUACGUG
rnacentral:rRNA from 1 species